rnacentral:rRNA from 1 species
AAAUGAAUUGACGGGGGCCCGCACAAGCGGUGGAGCAUGUGGUUUAAUUCGACGCAACGCGAAGAACCUUACCAGGUCUUGACAUCCUCUGAAAAGCCAAGAGAUUGGUGGUUUUGCCUUCGGGCAGACAGGGAGACAGGUGGUGCAUGGUUGUCGUCAGCUCGUGUCGUGAGAUGUUGGGUUAAGUCCCGCAACGAGCGCAACCCUUAUUCUUAGUUGCCAGCAGGUAGAGCUGGGCACUCUAAGGAGACUGCCGGUGACAAACCGGAGGAAGGUGGGGAUGACGUCAAAUCAUCAUGCCCUUUAUGACCUGGGCUACACACGUGCUACAAUGGCCUGUACAAAGGGUAGCGAAGCCGUGAGGCGGAGCCAAUCCCAAAAAGCAGGUCUCAGUUCGGAUUGCAGGCUGCAACUCGCCUGCAUGAAGUCGGAAUCGCUAGUAAUCGCAGGUCAGCAUACUGCGGUGAAUACGUUCCCGGGCCUUGUACACACCGCCCGU